rnacentral:rRNA from 1 species
UAGGGAAUCUUCCACAAUGGACGCAAGUCUGAUGGAGCAACGCCGCGUGAGUGAAGAAGGUCUUCGGAUCGUAAAGCUCUGUUGUUGGUGAAGAAGGAUAGAGGCAGUAACUGGUCUUUAUUUGACGGUAUCAACCAGAAAGUCACGGCUAACUACGUGCCAGCAGCCGCGGUAAUACGUAGGUGGCAAGCGUUGUCCGGAUUUAUUGGGCGUAAAGCGAGCGCAGGCGGAAUGAUAAGUCUGAUGUGAAAGCCCACGGCUCAACCGUGGAACUGCAUCGGAAACUGUCAUUCUUGAGUGCAGAAGAGGAGAGUGGACUCCAUGUGUAGCGGUGGAAUGCGUAGAUAUAUGGAAGAACACCAGUGGCGAAGGCGGCUCUCUGGUCUGCAACUGACGCUGAGGCUCG